rnacentral:rRNA from 1 species
AAACCAACAGGGAUUGCCUUAGUAACGGCGAGUGAAGCGGCAAAAGCUCAAAUUUGAAACCCUCGGGAUUGUAAUUUGAAGAUUUGGCAUUGGAGAAAGCUAACCCAAGUUGCUUGGAAUAGUACGUCAUAGAGGGUGACAACCCCGUCUGGCUAACCGUUCUCCAUGUAUUGCCUUAUCAAAGAGUCGAGUUGUUUGGGAAUGCAGCUCAAAGUGGGUGGUAAACUCCAUCUAAAGCUAAAUACUGGUGAGAGACCGAUAGCGAACAAGUACUGUGAAGGAAAGGUGAAAAGAACUUUGAAAAGAGAGUGAAAUAGUAUGUGAAAUUGUUGAUAGGGAAGGAAAUGAGUGGAGAGUGGCCGAGGUUUCAGCCGCCCCUCGUGGGCGGUGUACUGCCGACGCCGAGUCAUCGAUAGCGAGACGAGGGUUACAAAUGGGAGCGCCUUUCGGGCGUUCUCCCCUAACCCUCCACACUGCCACCGACGACAUAAUCCACCCAUUUCACCCGUCUUGAAACACGGACCAUGCA